UCAUCAAAAUUCACAAAGAAAAAGCAUAUAGAAAGAAAAAGACUAGACUCAAGAACUCACUGCCUUGUUGAAGAGGCAACAUACAUACUCAAGAAAAAUGUGAUGAAUAACAGAAGAGAGAAGGCAGUAAGGGCUAUUAUUUCUGGACUAAUAAUAUUAAUAUCAUAGCAAAUACUUAAUAAAAACUCAUGAUGUACCAGGCUGCAUUCUAAAAGCUUAUGAGAUA
rnacentral:lncRNA from 1 species